rnacentral:ncRNA from 1 species
UCUUUGCUACGGUGGUGGGACCCCGACGAGACGCGCCGUACCGGGCUUCGCAAAGACGACGCACC